rnacentral:lncRNA from 1 species
GUAGGUUCUUUAAGCAUUGACGAGCUAAAGACCAUUUUAAAUUCUAAGCCUAGGGAAGCUUACAAUGGAACUAAUCAGAUGUUUUUAUGUCGGUUUGUUCCGAGACAGUGGAAGACUGGAGGUCAUGUGCUUGUGUCUAAUGUUUAGCAAAAUCUUAGUGAAACGAGGGCGAUAGGAAUGGGGGCUGGGGAAGACUUAGAUGGGAUAAAAAGAGGUGCGGCUGGAAGAACUAAAUCACUUUAAAACUUCUGAAAAUAAAUGUUGACCAUUGUAGUCAGAGGAGUAAAAUGUUCAGAGAAAUGGGGAUGAUUAAACAAGAACGGCAAGCCAGAUUGAGUCAGAAAAUUAUCUUCCUGCCAGAAAUUCUGUCUCCCACAACGGCAUCAGGGGGUGGUUACUUGCCCAGGGUGUAGUCAGUUUUUAAAAAGCUUAAGGGUUACCAACAUAUUCCUAAAUUUCCUGAAUUUGCUGUGAUUCCAGGAUUCAUUUAAACUCUUGAGACUGUUUUACUUUCGGCACGAAAUCAGCUCAUGGGCUUUAUAAAUGUAGAACCUACUGCAUUAUAGUUCUUCUUUUUGUUUAUUCUAAAACUGUUAGUAGCAGCCAGCGUAUUAUAUGAUUUGGAUUGGGCCAUGAACAACCGUAACGAGUGAUAAAGCACCCUUUCCUGUUCCAAUGCAAAGAACAACUAUGAAAAGAAAGUACUGGCAAAUUUAUCAUCUUGUAGUUAGUUCCUGGCCAAAGAAAAUGGUAAGGCCAUUCUUUUAAGCAGUUAAAAAAAAAUGGGGAUGGGCUCUUAAACUUUGGCAUGCUAAGGCCAUUCUUUUAAGCAGUUUAAAAAAAUGGGGAUGGGCUCCUAAACUUUGACAUACUAAAGCAGUCGUCAUUUAGGUAAAAUCUAAGUCUUAAUGGAAAUCGUGAUUUCAUAUCUACUGCAGCGUUAGCAAUCACAUAAUGAUAACUUAAAUCAGUAAAUCGUUGAACUCGGUUCUCUAAUCUUUGAAGAAUAGAAAUACUUUUUAUCCCAAAAGAUGUUUUGAGAAUUAAAUUUGCAGAGAAUUUUUUAGGUCUUUAGUUGUAAUUUAUAGAGCUAGGUCUUUUAACUUUAGUGGAAACCAUGCCCUCCAAACCCAAGUGACUGGAGUCAGAAUGUGAAAUAAGACGACAUAAAAUCCCUAUUUCUUAAGGGGCUGGGCGAAAGUAAUGGAACAAAAUGUAACGUUAUGCUAUUGUGGCAGAGAUAGCUAAUGGAAUGUUUCAUUUCUAAGUCUGUAAUUUCAGUAAUUGUUAGAGGCAGUUUUCCAUCAAUAAGUUAGAUCAAAUGGUUAAACCCAAUAUGAAUUUAUAAAAGCUUAAUUUAAUUUUGGAUUGAUUUACCAGAUGUUUAAGGUGGUUAUAAUGGGUAGUGUUGAUGGUGGUGCUUUUGGAAAAAUGAGUAUUAUAUGCCUGCUCAUCCCUUUACAUUAUCUUAUCAUAUAAACUUCUUGAUUACUCGUUAUGAUACUCUUAAAUCGUACAUUUAGAGGAAAAAUCUUAAAGUAAUCUGUAAGACCAUUUCUCCUUAAAAUGAUAUAUUAUGAGAUGAAAGGAAAGAUAAAGAUAAUUUAGAAGAGAUCCAGAAGUGGACUAAAUUUCUGGUAAGGAGGGGGCUAAAGAUGUUAAAAGACAUCUUAGGAAAAGCAUAUGAUUUAUAACUUUUAAAAGUGUCAUUUAGAUGGUUAAGGAUUUGUGUUUAAUAGUUCUCUUGAAAAUAUUGUUUUCCAAAAGUUUAAAAGCCCUAGCUACUUUUAUACAUUUGCCCUUAAAAAAUGUACAGAAUUUAUUACAUCAAACUGCUACAAAGAAAUAAGAAUUCUGAUUUUUGCAAGAAUGGGAUGUUCUGGCUCUCAUUACCAGGGAUCCCCUUGUCUUCCCUGGGUUUAGCCAAUGAGAACUGCUGGCAGGAGGUCAGAGGGUAGUAGAAAAAAGAAUUUGGGUUAUUUCUUUCCCCCUCCCUUUGAGCUAGCCUGAGAUUCUGGUGGUGAUGGCAUUCCUCUACAACUGCGUACCCUGUCAGAUACCCGCCCAUGGCUCUAACUUUCACUGGGCUGCUUCAGAUCCAGCUGUGGUGAUGGCAUCCCAAUGUACUAGCCCCUGAAUGCCUCAGCAUUCCUUGUUUGGCCUCUUAACUCUGCCCACAUUUCUGUAAUUGUUCUUUACAUUAGUUUGUACUCAAAAUCUCCUUGGAACUGUGCCUUCAGUUUCCUGCUAGGACAAGACUCAUUGGGCUUUGUUUUCUUCAUCUGUUUGGUUUGGCUGCUCUCAUUUACAUACUUGCUCUCAUUAGGGUUUGAAUUUCAGAGCUGGCCUCACUCUGCGAUGAGAACAAAUGUCUUGCCAUGUGAUACUAACUUUCCAUUACAUGCUGAAGCAUUUGCAGUCCCAGAGGCAAAGAAUUUAUGGUUGGUACAUGAGAGAUAGAACCAUCACAUAAAAGAAGCCAAAUUUGCAAUCAUAUUUUUCCUUAGUGCUAAUAUAGUUUCGGGAUAAUGAGAACUCAGAAUAAUCAGCUAAUGACCAGAAAUGAAUCAUUAUUAAAACACUGUUUUUCUGGCAUAAAAUAGCUAAUGUUUCUAGUUGGUUGAUAAUUUUCUUAGCAACCAUGGUAUUUGGCACGUCCUAAACCACUUUUCACUAGAAGCCUUCAGACCCCACUGAAGCAGUUCAUUAUACUCUGAAACAGUUCUGAGAAUCAGGGAGAAUAAUAUACAAGUUUUGCUGAUAUUCUAUAGCUGUAUAGCCAGUAUCCUGUAGCAAAUACUUAAAAUUUCCUACAAGAUUUCUCAGUAAUUCUCCAGCCAAGUAGGAAAUUAAGUAGAUGCAGCAGAAGAGAUUAAAAAGUAUUGGAAGUCGAUCCCCAAGUUAGAGUUUGGUCAGAAUUUCAAGCUUGUUUUAUUGUUUUUUAAAAAGUAAAUAAACAAGUUGUUUUAUACUUUAAUAAUAGGGUCACCAUUAAUAUAACAUUUACAUGGCAUCAUAUUUCCAAGGGAUUCUGUAUAUGUCCCAGCUUCUUGUUAUUACUGACUAUGCUCUGUGAGAUUUUUUGGCGGCAUGUAUUACUUUGGUUUUGGCCAGAAAGUCAAAGGAAAAGAGUAUUGAGAAUAGCAGCCAAUAACUAUGAAA